CCCGAUCCCUCUCUUUCUCUCCCUCUCUGCGCCGAAUCCUUCCUCCUCACCGCCGACCCUCCUCCCUCUCCUCCUCGCGACGCCUCGCAUCGGUUUCCCUUCUCCCAUUUGCGCCGAUCCUCUCCUUUACCUAUGCCCUAAAUCCACAUUGCCGACUCACAUCUUCCCCUCCCGAUCUCUCUCUCUCGCGCGAAGCCGCACCAUCUCCCUUGAUCGCCGAAGCUCAGAUCUCGCCGCCACCUCAGAUCCAAACGUCGGCGUAGACCUCCCCUCCAGAUCUGCCACUAUCGACUUCGAGCCGUUCUUCUCUACAUGGGUUGUCUUCGGCCAAGAGUCCUCAUCCUUUCCUUGUGUUGACGCUGCGCGAUUCGACUGUAAUCGGCUAUUGAGAGAUGGCCAUCGCUCUCCACCGCACGUUACCAGUUGCUCUCAGGCUGCUGGUCUUUCAUCCCUUUCGAUUGUCACGAACAAGAUGCUGUGAUCAACCCUGUUCUCGACCUCUCUGAUCUCUUUGGGGUAUCACCGCUUUGUUUUAGUUUUCAUACCACCUUCUACCAUCCGGGGAAGAGCCAUGGUCGGCUGCUGUAGGUUGCUGCCAGAGGGUUAGGAUAUUGUUGAGGUGCUGAUCUAGCGCUGUCCUCACUCGUGUGCUGGCCAUUGCUCAUUGUUGAUGAAGAAGUUGAACCGAAGAUGCUGAAACAGUGAACAACCGCUAGAGGAAAAACUAUAGGGUAGCAGAUAGAUUUUUUGGAGUCGCUUAGAGUAUCCUGCCUGCCGGUUCCCACGUCUCAUCCAAAGACCUGUUUCUGAUUUUCAUUUGUACUUUAUUUAGUCUAUGUUUUUGGUUUACUUAGCAAUGUAAAUUUAGGUUUUGGUUUCGGAAUGUUGUUAUGUGGUAUUUUUGUUUGAUUGUUGUGUUAUGUAAGCCUAACCGGCUAGCAGUCUUAUUUUUGGUUUGUAAUGGUUUUCUAUCGUU